UACGUAGGGGGCAAGCGUUGUCCGGAAUGACUGGGCGUAAAGGGAGUGUAGGCGGCCUUGCAAGUUAGAUGUGAAAUCCUACGGCUUAACCGUAGAACUGCAUCUAAAACUGUGAGGCUGGAGUGCAGGAGGGGCAGGCGGAAUUCCUGGUGUAGCGGUGAAAUGCGUAGAUAUCAGGAGGAACACCGGCGGCGAAGGCGGCCUGCUGGACUGAAACUGACGUUGAGGCUCGAAAGCGUGGGGAGCAAACAGG
rnacentral:rRNA from 1 species